ACGCUCGACACCUACGGGAGACAGCAGUGGGGAAUAUUGCACAAUGGGGGAAACCCUGAUGCAGCGACGCCGCGUGAGCGAAGAAGUAUUUCGGUAUGUAAAGCUCUAUCAGCAGGGAAGAAACUGACGGUACCUGACUAAGAAGCACCGGCUAAAUACGUGCCAGCAGCAGCGGUAAUCUGAGCGGGCUGGCAAGGC
rnacentral:rRNA from 1 species